rnacentral:rRNA from 1 species
AGAGUUCAGAGUACGUGAAACCGUUCAGGGGUAAACCUGAGAAACCCAAAAGAUCGAAUGGGGAGAUUCAUCGUCAGCUCACUUUGUAUAUGUAUAGGUUAUGAUGCGNNAGUUACUCUUNNGUAGUAUUGCUNUGUACAUACUUGUAUAUUUAUUUGCAAGGUGUUGUCGGCGUGCACUUCUCCCCUAGUAGGACGUCGCGACCCGUUGGGUGUCGGUUUACGACCCGAGNUGGGAGACUUUAAUAUUNNUUANNUAAUAUUAAAGACCCUUGGUGUUNUUCUAACCGGCUGCCCGGCGGUAUUCGUACGGUAUUUAGCCGCAUNUUNANNNUUUGCGUCCAUGUUCGUUGCAAGCGCGGCUAAUUUCUGGUAGUNACGGACCUAGUGCCGUCGCUGGGAUUGGCCAGCUGUUGGUUGNNACGAAAUUCUGGGACUGGCUAAAAUNUAAUNNUACCGGUCGGCGAUGCUACUGCUUUGGGUACUUUCAGGACCCGUCUUG